rnacentral:rRNA from 1 species
AUGCUCAGAAUUGCUAGUGACUAUUAUAAAGAAUUGUUCAAAAAAGAGGAUAGAAACGACUUUAGGAUGAACCCAAACUUUUUCUCUGAAGGAGAAAAAGUAACUCCUGAAGAAAAUUACACAUUAGAAUCUCCUUUUUUAGAAGAAGAAGUCAAACAAGCUAUUUUUGACUCCUAUUCUGAUGGAGCCCCAGGGCCUGACGGGAUCCCUUUCUUUUUCUACCAACACUUUUGGGUAUUGGUAAAGAAAGACCUGAUGGAUAUGUUUUCAGACUUCCACAGAGGAGUGUUUGAUAUACACAGACUUAACUUUGCUAUGUUAACCUUGAUUCCCAAAGAAGCAGAUGCUUCUUCCAUGAAGAAGUUUAGGCCCAUCAGCCUUUUGAAUUGUAGCUUCAAGAUGUUCACCAAAGUGCUCACCAAUAGACUCUCAAAAAUCUUGCAGAGGUUGGUAGCUAGCAACCAAUCUGCCUUUUUAAAAGGCAGGUAUAUCCUAGAAAGUAUGGUCACAGCAUAUGAGGUGCUGCACUCAAUUCACUCUAGUAAAAGACAAGGUCUGGUGCUAAAGCUAGACUAUGAAAAAGCCUUUGACAAAGUCAACCUAGAUUUCCUAGAGGAUCUUCUUAAGUUUAGAGGGUUUGGGGGGAGAUGGACCCAAUGGAUUAAAUAG